AGUAUGGGAAGAUUUGUGGAUUCUGAAAAGCCAUUUGGUUUUCUGUAUGUACUGGAUGUGCGUAUGUGUGUGUGUGUGUAUUUGUGUAGACUAAUUUCCCUAGAUGAUCUGAGCCAAAAAUGAAAAUUUAAAGUUUGUUCUACUAGUCCUGUGAACUGAGGUCACCAAUUGGGAAAGAAAGGAUGAGGAGUCAAUGUACAAGCCCACCUACCUGGUUGCACUGACCCAUGCAGAAAGAACAGCCACUGUGGUAGUGAGCAAGGGCUCUGCGGUGACAGUCUACAGCACAUGAUGGGGACCACAGCAAGUACUCAAUGGGACUGGUGUAUUGUUUAUAUGAUUGAAAGGGGUGCUGUGUUAUUUAGAAAUAGUAUUUACCUGCAUGUAGCAAAGACCUGGAAAAUAAUGGGUUAAUUCUCCCAUAUAAUGAAAGUCAAGCUGUAGGUAGUCUAAAGUUGCAUAGUGUCUCUCCAUGAUUCAGGCUCCAUUCUUUUUUCUCCACUACCCCUAUCCUCAAGAUGAUUUCAUGGUUCAUGAUGACUGCAAGGACCUUGCCAUCAAACCACUGAGAAGGUUUGAAGAAGGAAUAAAGAUAGAAGGGUGGAAAGUGGCACAUCUUCCAUCAGCCAUAAUGGCAGGUGAAGAAAUUAAUGAAGACUAUCCAG
rnacentral:lncRNA from 1 species